rfam:Clostridiales bacterium 41_21_two_genomes Ley3_66761_scaffold_7106, whole genome shotgun sequence.
GAAAGCCGUAUACAUCGAGAGGUGUACGUGCGGUUUGGGAGGGAGGGGAUGCAAGUCCUGUAAAGGACAAGCUGAACCUUACCUCAU